GACAGAGGGGGCAAGCGUUGCUCGGAAUCACUGGGCGUAAAGGGCGCGUAGGCGGGAUGGCAAGUCGAACGUGAAAUCCCCGAGCUCAACUCGGGAACUGCGUCCGAUACUGGUGGGCUUGAAUCCGGGAGAGGGAUGCGGAAUUCCAGGUGUAGCGGUGAAAUGCGUAGAUAUCUGGAGGAACACCGGUGGCGAAGGCGGCAUCCUGGACCGGCAUUGACGCUGAGGCGCGAAAGCUAGGGGAGCAAACGGG
rnacentral:rRNA from 1 species